rnacentral:misc_RNA from 1 species
GUGAAUCAUCGAAUCUUUGAACGCAAAUUGCACUCUCUUCGGAGAGUAUGCCUGUUUGAGGGUGAGUAUUAGUAAAAAUCGGUGUGUUGCUUCUUUGUGACGCUCCGGGGUUUGGAUCAUCUUAAUAUCCUUUAGGUUUUAAGUGGCUUAACAUUGACUUUUUUUGCGCAUUUUCGAUGUACAUUAAUUCUUUUUUUUUUUCGUCUGUCUUAAUGCUCAUAAUCCUAUUAGUUCC